AUGGAGAGCUGUGUGGCCGGUACCGGUAUGACUGUCCAUGUGCCAGCGCACCCGUAUCACACCAGGCCUGAAAGCAGCACCGGGCCACAUCCUGGCAGCUCAGGACGGGCUUCGGAGCCCCGCAGAAGUUCGCCCGAGGGCGCUCCCGCACUCGCGUCUUCCAGGGCCCUCCUGAGCGUCCAAGGCUGCUGCGGAUGCGCGCACUUCCCGCCGGGAUCCCGAAGGCCGCACGGUGCAGACGCGGUCCCCGCGGGGAGGGCGCGAGCGAGUGGGUGGGUCGGGGGCUCUCCGGGGCUUAGCGAGUCCGGCCGGGGCCGGGGCCCGGGCCGGGGAGGGCGGAGGGCGGCGCUCCAGGUCCUUCCCUGGCCCGGACGUCGAGCCCCGUCCUCUGCACCCCGGCGUCCGGCUCCGGUCCCGCCCGGUGUCCCGCGCAGGGUCGGCCGCUGGCAGCUCCGGAAGGAGGACACGCGAGGGGCGAGGAGCUGCCUCCUCCCCUUCCCCGCGCUCGGGCCCCCCGCCCACACCCCCGCCGGCCCCCUCGGGACCCUCCAGGCCCCCGGUCCCUCCAGACCCGGCCCCAGGCGCCCACCUGGCUGCCAGUGCGCGCGCGCGCGUCCGGCGCGCUGUCCCUUUAACGGCCCGCGGGCACCUCCCCCGCCGCCACCGCCCCGCCCCCGCCGCGGUGCGGCCGCCGGUGCUGGGCGAGGUCGGAGAAAGUCCAUGGGAGCCGGAGCGCCGGGACGCCGAGCACUUCCUGCCGCUGGCGGCGCGCCGCAGCUGCCCAGGCCGGACCGGGCCGGGCGCCCGCAGGUACCGCCAAGUUGGCGCGCGCGGCCGCCCCUGUGUUGCGCCGCCGGGCGGGGUCGUCCCGCGACCGGGCCCGCACUUCCCGCAACUCCGCGUCCGCCCAACUUGGCGCGGACCCCUGCCGCAGUGCCGGCCGCGCGGGGCGGGUGCGGCCGAGUUCCGCGGCCGGGCCGUGCGCGCGGGAGCCGGGCUCGGGAACCCGCGGAGGGGGCCGGGCGGGGCCGGGGAGUCCCAGCGGAGGCGCCCGCGACCGGGGGCCGGGACCCCGUACGGCGCGUUCUGGGGAGACCCCAGCCCCGGGCGUCCCGGGGCGCUCCCCGCCCCUGCACCCCCUGA
rnacentral:lncRNA from 1 species